CGCACAUUGCGCUCUUUGGUAUUCCGAAGAGCACAUCUGUUCGAGCGUCAUUACACCAAUCAAACUCAUGUUUGGAAUUGAAUGUGAUCAUGAAAAUUGAUACAUUCCAAAGUCAUUAGCAGUACCUUUCGGUCUCAAACGUCGUUAUAUUUUAAUCGUUUGUCAGGCUUCGAAAGGUCCUUGCUUUGUCCUAAACCUUUUCAGUUUGACCUCGAAUCAGAUGGGGAUACCCGCUGAACUUAA
rnacentral:misc_RNA from 1 species